AUGAGCUCACCAGUCCUUCCUGCUGCACCUGCUAGACCUCCAGUUUUGCAGGACACACAUAUCAAACUCCAAUUGUACCUCAUCCGUGUCUUUCCAGGUUAUUAUUACCUGUCUUUUUUGGCCCAUGAUGAUGGAGUACCCAUAUUUCAUCUGUACAAUGUCAAACAAUUCUUAUUUGUACCUUCUGUAGGCCCAUGCAAUCUUUUGUCAAGAACAUUGUCAUUUCAGUGGUUGUCAUCAUGUAAACAGUGGGCUCAUCUGUUUGCUGCUUGUGCUACUAGAGGUAACAUUAUAAGGCCUUCUACUACCAUUGUUGCAUGGCAAAUUUGGUGA
rnacentral:rRNA from 1 species